rnacentral:rRNA from 1 species
GACGAGUGGCGAACGGGUGAGUAAUGUAUCUGGAACGUACCUUUCAGUGGGGGAUAACGUAGCGAAAGUUACGCUAAUACCGCAUAUUCUGUGAGCAGGAAAGCAGGGGAUCGCAAGACCUUGCGCUGAUUGAGCGGCCGAUAUCAGAUUAGCUAGUUGGUGAGGUAAAGGCUCACCAAGGCGACGAUCUGUAGCGGGUCUGAGAGGAUGAUCCGCCACACUGGAACUGAGACACGGUCCAGACUCCUACGGGAGGCAGCAGUGGGGAAUUUUGGACAAUGGGGGCAACCCUGAUCCAGCCAUGCCGCGUGAGUGAAGAAGGCCUUCGGGUUGUAAAGCUCUUUCGGCCGGGAAGAAAUCGCAUGGGUUAAUACCCUGUGCGGAUGACGGUACCGGCAUAAGAAGCACCGGCUAACUACGUGCCAGCAGCCGCGGUAAUACCGUAGGGUGCGAGCGUUAAUCGGAAUCACUGGGCGUAAAGCGUGCGCAGGCGGUU